AGAGCAUGCCUGAGAGACGGGAUCCCUGAGUCUGCAGAGGAGCCGGGCAGCAUGAGAAAUCACUAAACAAAUCCGUCAGAGCAAAACCGUGGUGUGGAGGAUGGUCUAUUGGAUGCGAUCCACUGGGGCAAAGAUUUAUUAGGCGGACAACCCCUUCUUCUACCCAACAGCAAAUCCAUUACAAUAAUGGGCUUCGAACCCAUCUGCAGGCAAACAGCGGGUCAGGAGGAGCCCGAUGUGUGGACACUGAGCAAUCUGAACAUGGCUGCCUUUUACAAUGUGUGAAGCCAGGCAGAAAAGCAGCACAUUUGAUUGAGAACAGAGGAGAGCGGCCAGAAUCUGCCUUCCCUUUGCUCCCGCUUCCGGGGGGAUUCAUGGCGGGGGAUCUGGAGGCGACACUUGGCAGCCAAGGGCGUGGGGCCAAAUGGAGGGCCCGGAACUCAGAAAGAGAGGAGGGGGAGCUAAUUAAUGCUUUGUCCUGCCUGCCCUUCUCUCCUCCCUACCCCCAGCGGCCAACAACUA
rnacentral:lncRNA from 1 species